CAGAGACCCAACAGUACCACCAUGAGCAAGACACUUGGCGACAAGGGCAAGGAAAAACUGCCUGUUAAAAGGCAGAAACCUAGGACAGAUCCUUCGGCUCUAGGUGGGUGGUCGUCUGUCUCGACCAGUUGGGGUGAGAGAGAGAGAGAGAGAGAGAGAGAGAGAGACAGACAGACAGACAGACAGAUAGUCAGACGCACAGCAACAACAGUAGCAACAACUAGUGAUGGCAGUGCUACACUGAAGCUUCAAUACGUGCUUCGAACCCUGAACUACAAUUCCAUAGAACCACUGCUUCAAAGCUUGCUUUGGUGCGAAAAAAAUCCGAAGCAGCAACAGUUUCAUUGCCUGAAUGAAUCAGCUGACUGGUUCGCGGUCCAAUCAGGUGAUUCACUGGCCCGAUUCCGACAGGUGACAGGUUGAGACAGUUUUGAAUUUGAAUGCCAUGAACACUUUAUAACCGCUCUAAACAAUGCACAAUUUGUGGGUUGUUAUCGUAGUUGGAGAGUUGUUACUUUUGAGUUAUUGCGUUUGUAUUGAUUCAUUACGUUUGUAUUGAUUCAUUACGUUUGUAUUGAUUCAUUACGUUUGUAUUGAUUCAUUACGUUUGUAUUGAUUCAUUACGUUUGUAUUGAUUCAUUGCGUUUGUAUUGAUUCAUUGCGUUUGUAUUGAUUCAUUGCGUUUGUAUUGAUUCAUUGCGUUUGUAUUGAUUCAUUAUGGAGCCAGCCAGGAAGAGAGGUCGUUCUAACAUGAGGGAAUACUUCAAUUUGGUCGCUCCUGGUAAGGUCCAGUGCUUGGUGUGUUCGGCUGAACUGAAGUAUCAUGGCAAUACUUCCUCCAUGAUUAGGCACUGCCAACCAGGGCAACACAAAUCAAGUAGACCGAAAGUGAGAGCUAGAUGAAGCUCUUGUCAAUAUGAUGGUGAAAGACUCGCAGCCUUUUUCCAUCGUGGAUGACUGUGGCUUCGAGAAGUUUGUGGCAUUGCUUGAUCCCACAUAUAGUCUUCCAUCCCGACGGGCUCUGAAGAACAUGGUGGUUCAGAGGUAUGAGGUGGAGAAAACCAAGGCCAAGGCUGUACUUCAGAGGGUAGAGGCUGUGAGCCUGACUGCGGAUAUGUGGACCUCCAUUAAUAUGGACGCAUAUCUAGCAGUGACGUGCCAUUAUCUGGAUGAGUCUUUGAAGCUGGCCACAGUGUUUUUGGGAGUGCUGCCUAUCCCUGAAGCCCAUACAGCUGCCAACAUUACUGCUGCAACGAGGUCUCUCAUGGAAGAAUGGAGCAUUGAAGGCAAAGUAACAUCAAUUGUUACAGAUGCAGGAGCUAAUAUGGUUGCCUCUGUCAGAAGCUUAAAUUUGAGACAUGCACUUUGCUUUGCUCAUUCACUUAAUUUAGUGGUGAAGAAGUCUCUAGAUGCGACUCCUGGCCUAGAAGACCUUCGCACAAGGGCAAGCAAGGUGGUCACAUUUUUUUAAAACCAGCACAACAGCAAGAGAAAAGCUCAAAGAAGUGCAGGAGCAGAUGAACCGUCCUGUAAUGAAGCUGAUUCAGGAGGUGGACACAGCACCUUCCUAAUGCUGCAAUGUCUUUUUAAAGAGAGACAGUCAGUGGGGGCAGCUCUUGCAACGCUGAAAAACAGAUGUGAGACCUCUGUCCUCCGAGGACUAUGAGACAGCCGCUGCAUGCCUGCAAUUGCUGGGCCCCUUUUACCAGGCAACAGUAGAGCUGUCAGAGGAGAAAAGGGUCUCAGGGUCAAAGGUCAUCUCUAUGAUAAAGAUGUUGAUGCUGUACUUAUAUGACACAGUGAGAAACAUAAGCCACAACACUGCAAAACAACUGGGACAGAACUUGGUGUCGGUGAUGCUUAACAAAUUUGACACAACAGAGAACCAAACUGCACUGAACCUGUCAAACACUGCUGGAUCCAAGAUUUAAAACCCUAGGCUUUUACAACCAGGUACAAGCACAAUCAUCAGUAGCCUGACUGCACAGUGUUCCCAAGUAAUAAGAAACACCCCUACUGAAGAACAGCCUUCGACAUCAGAUCAACCAGCACCAGCAAAUGUUGGAAAUCCUCCAUCCACAGAUAUUAACCUUUGGGCAACUCUGGAUAGAGAUGUGUCUGAAGCCAGGAGGGCAAGGAAUGCCACAGCAGAUGCCACAGUAGAGGUGCAGCGGUACAUGGUUGACCCAUCG